AUUGAACGCUGGCGGCAGGCUUAACACAUGCAAGUCGAACGAGUGGCGGACGGGUGAGUAAUGCUUGGGAAUCUAGCUUAUGGAGGGGGAUAACUACGGGAAACUGUAGCUAAUACCGCGUACCAUAGGAUGAGCCCAAGUGGGAUUAGGUAGUUGGUGAGGUAAGGGCGCACCAAGCCGACGAUCUCUAGCUGGUCUGAGAGGAUGACAGGCGACACGGGGACGUAGACACGGCGCAGACUCCUAGAGGAGGCAGGAGGGGGGAAGAUGGCGCAAUGGGAGAAACCUGAAGCAGCCAGGCCGCGUGAAGGAAGAAGGCCUUCGGGUUGUAAAGUUCUUACGGUAGCGAGGCGUUAACGACAGAGGAAGCACCGGCUAACUCGGUGCCAGCGGCGGCGUUAAUA
rnacentral:rRNA from 1 species